CCCACAUGUACCUACUCAGUCCCCACAGGACACCGAUAUUGCAAUAAUACUUUCCCCUGGGCUACAGAGAGCAGGUCAGCCAGGAAAUGAAUCCGGGCUCCCCAAAAGGACCGAUUGCUAGUAAUCUUCAAAUAGGACUGCUACUGACAGGCAACUUGUGAACAAAGUAAUUUGUAUCUGCUGCCCUGCUCCAGCCUGGCUCACCACAGCUAGUUUUGUGGGGUCCUUACCCUUCU
rnacentral:lncRNA from 10 species